rnacentral:rRNA from 1 species
CAGCAGCCGCGGUAACACGAAGGGGGCUAGCGUUGUUCGGAUUUACUGGGCGUAAAGGGUGCGUAGGCGGAUUGUUAAGUCAGGGGUGAAAUCCCGAGGCUCAACCUCGGAACUGCCUUUGAUACUGGCGAUCUUGAGUCCGGGAGAGGUGAGCGGAACUGCGAGUGUAGAGGUGAAAUUCGUAGAUAUUCGCAAGAACACCGGUGGCGAAGGCGGCUCACUGGCCCGGAACUGGCGCUGAGGCACGAAAGCGUGGGGAGCAAACAGGAUUAGAUACCCCCGUAGUCCCUGUCUCUUAUAC